rnacentral:rRNA from 5 species
UCUGGCAAUGAUGGCGAAGAGGUCACACCCGUACCCAUUCCGAACACGGAAGUUAAGUUCUUCAGCGCCGAUGGUAGUUGGGGGUUUCCCCCUGUGAGAGUAGGACGUUGCCAGGC